rnacentral:tRNA from 1 species
CUGAUAGGGCUGCUGUAGCAGGCCAUUGUGAUAUAAUGGUUGUAGGAUUUUGUCUUCGUUAGU